CUUCCGUAGGGGGAACCUGCGGAAGGAUCAUUAGUGAAUAUAGGACGUCCAACUUAACUUGGAGUCCGAACUCUCACUUUCUAACCCUGUGCACUUGUUUGGGAUAGUAACUCUCGCAAGAGAGCGAACUCCUAUUCACUUAUAAACACAAAGUCUAUGAAUGUAUUAAAUUUUAUAACAAAAUAAAACUUUCAACAACGGAUCUCUUGGCUCUCGCAUCGAUGAAGAACGCAGCGAAAUGCGAUAAGUAAUGUGAAUUGCAGAAUUCAGUGAAUCAUCGAAUCUUUGAACGCACCUUGCGCUCCAUGGUAUUCCGUGGAGCAUGCCUGUUUGAGUGUCAUGAAUACUUCAACCCUCCUCUUUCUUAAUGAUUGAAGAGGUGUUUGGUUUCUGAGCGCUGCUGGCCUUUACGGUCUAGCUCGUUCGUAAUGCAUUAGCAUCCGCAAUCGAACUUCGGAUUGACUUGGCGUAAUAGACUAUUCGCUGAGGAAUUCUAGUCUUCGGAUUAGAGCCGGGUUGGGUUAAAGGAAGCUUCUAAUCAGAAUGUCUACAUUUUAAGAUUAGAUCUCAAAUCAGGUAGGACUACCCGCUGAACUUAAGCAUAUCAAUAAGCGGAGGAAAC
rnacentral:rRNA from 1 species